ACGUCUCUGCUUUUAAACCAAUCAGGAACCAGGUCACGUGUCUGUUUUUAAACCAAUCAAAAGAAGUCAUAGGUUUACCAUAAACCAUGUUCAGCAAGUAUGAAAAGUUGUCUAUCCUUAUUUAUUUUACCUUCUGAAUCCUUUAAAAAGAAAUCAGUACUAAUUUACUGUAAGGAUAAAAAGUUUAUCAGUUCAUCUGCAAGGACUUUAGAAAUCAUUAAUAACUGUUUAUUAAUGAUUAGUAAAGGUGAGCAGGAGACGAUAUGCUAAAAGUUAUGUUUACAAAUGCUUAUUAUGUCUGAAAUGUUUAGUAUAACUAAAAUGAGCUGAUCUGACUCUAGAUUUUUCUCUUUCUCAUCCUUAUUGUAUAUUUUCCUAAACAAUCAUUUGUUAUCAUGACUUUUCUGGAGAACAUUUUUUGUUUUCUCUUUGUUGCUCUGUGAAAUAAAACACGGUGAAGCACCAGAGACCCGCAGGAAUCCACAUUUCUAGAUUUCAAGUUUCAAAGCUGCUUCUGCAGGUUAGGGAACAUUUUUCCAUACAGUCUAUUAAAAACGGAGAUCCACAGGGUUCUGCUCUAGAGCCUGUAGUUUUAGUCUUAUUUUCUAUAUGUAUAGUAUAAUAAAGUUUAUCUUCAUUGAAACAAAAUGAAGAUUUUUUAAAGGUUGUUUUUAAUGGAUUUUUGUGAAAAUGUAAAAAAAAUAAAACAAAAUCAGGUUUCCAUCCUGAUAAGAGAAACAGAUCUGAGUAAAUAUUUCUUGUAAUUGAAUGUAAUUAUUCCAUGGAAAAUCUUCAUUUGUCAUGUCUGGAUUUAAAAACAUCAGUUUUUUCUUAGUUGGGUUUUAGAAUCAUAAGGAGAUUUAAAGGAGGCAGCAAUAUUAAUAAAUAAACAUUUCUGGUUAAGUUAUGAUUUAUGAAUAAGAGUCAAGCGAACACAGGAGAGAGGAGCAGAGGCGGUGCGUUCAGGUUAGACGUGUUUAUGAGGACUCUGGUGUUACAGUGCAGGAAGUUCUCAACCAUCUGAGUUCAAAACUAAAAUCCAUCAUCAGCAGGAAGCAGCGAAACACAGAACAGAAAGAGUCACAGCCCAACAGGAGACCAGGUCAGAAAACACCGACGACAUUUCCACCGAGCAGGAGUGUGUGUGUGUGUGUGUGUGUGUGUGGCACUUUGAUGGCUUCAGGGCCUCUGAGUGAGUCAGUGGAGGAGCUGAGCAGCUCAGACCUGGAGUGUCCUGGAGUGUCUUCAUGCUACGUGUCUUUGUGUACAUUCACUAAUUGCACUUGAGGAUGAGGAUAUGUGGAGACGACAUAACUGGCCCGACGGCCGCAGGAGAAGCUUCUUGUUUUGGUGGUGAUGUUCGGGACAGACAGCCGGUGUGGGAGCGGGUCGGCCGAGAAGCAGCCGGACCCGACCCGUCGCUUUAAACACAAAGAAGCAGCUGGAGACAAGAGUUAGCUUAUCAAACAGGAAGUUCCUGAAUCAAGUGACCAUCCAUGUGGAGGCGGCGACCUGCGACCCUGUAGCCGAUGCAGGACCGUCAUCCGGCAGGUCCACCUGACAGAUGAGCCGACCGACUCUUCCACUUUCACACUAACCGGAACCAAACCCAGGAAAACUCCUCCAGAAACUCCUAAACCCGAAUUAAACCGGUUCUGUUCUGCUUAACCUACAGAAGUUAUUGCUUAAACACAUGAUCUUACUAAGAGCAGAACUGAUAUCAAACUGUGUCACCGGUUCUGGAAAAACAUCUAGAAGACGAGAGCAGAGUCACAUGUGCUGAUAAGAUGUAACUCCAGGGUCAAAGGUCACUCUGAUAUAUUAGAGGUGAAGUAUUUGUGACAUUGAUCUGAUAUCGAGGAUAAAAAAGCAUCAAAAUGUUUCAGCUGCUAUGAAUGUAAAAAUGUUUGCAGACGAUUCGCUGAUCUGUUCACAAAGUUUAGUAAAAAUGUUAAGACCAUGAGGGAAUUUUUGUGAAAGCUGUUUGGAUCUCCAUGUCAGUCAUUCUUCCCAGCAGAACCAUGGUUCAGUUUAAACGGGUCACAGGAAGUCGGGUUUCCUGUCCACUCAGCUUCAGCUCAGAGUUUAACGUGUCAGAUCUCCACCAGGAGCUUCUGACACUCAACGUUCAACAAAACAGAGUUUUAGAUUUAGCUCCUGUUUAAAGCUUCACUUGUUAACGAACUGUCACUGAAAUGCAGGGAGUCGCCAUGGAAACCGGUCUGGUUUUGACUCUCCAGGCAUUUCCCCUCUGUAAUAUUCUUGCAUUUUUUAAUUGACAAGUUAAUUGUGACAACAGCAGAGUGAACUUCAUUUACCUGACCAACCACCAGGUGUCCCUACUGAGGCGUCUGCUGGUACCGACUCACCUAACUGGACGGUUUUGGUCCAUUCGGUACUGCAGCCACUAACUGAAGGAGUCCAGCUGAAAAUGCAGAAGUCAUGAGAGUGACCCCGAUACAUUUCUAAAGAUUCACAGCAGCGACUGAGCGUACGCUGAGCGUAACGGGAAACAGAAAUCACGGCGGUGUCACGGGAGGAGCAUUCUUGUGUCGGUGGCCGAUGAGGAAUCGUUAGCGGCAGCUAGUGGUUGUUGGUCGCGUAAAUGUC